rnacentral:rRNA from 1 species
GAUACCCGAAUGGGGAAACCCAGUGUGAUUCGUCACACUAUCAUUAACUGAAUCCAUAGGUUAAUGAGGCGAACCGGGGGAACUGAAACAUCUAAGUACCCCGAGGAAAAGAAAUCAACCGAGAUUCCCCCAGUAGCGGCGAGCGAACGGGGAGGAGCCCAGAGCCUGAAUCAGCAUGUGUGUUAGUGGAAGCGUCUGGAAAGGCGCGCGAUACAGGGUGACAGCCCCGUACACAAAAGCGCAUGUGCUGUGAGCUCGAUGAGUAGGGCGGGACACGUGGUAUCCUGUCUGAAUAUGGGGGGACCAUCCUCCAAGGCUAAAUACUCCUGACUGACCGAUAGUGAACCAGUACCGUGAGGGAAAGGCGAAAAGAACCCCGGCGAGGGGAGUGAAAAAGAACCUGAAACCGUGU